rnacentral:rRNA from 1 species
UACGUAGGGUGCAAGCGUUAAUCGGAAUUAUUGGGCGUAAAGAGCUCGUAGGCGGUUUGUCGCGUCGGGAGUGAAAACACCGGGCUUAACUCGGUGCUUGCUUUCGAUACGGGCAGACUUGAGGCAUGCAGGGGAGAACGGAAUUCCUGGUGUAGCGGUGAAAUGCGCAGAUAUCAGGAGGAACACCGGUGGCGAAGGCGGUUCUCUGGGCAUGUUCUGACGCUGAGGAGCGAAAGUGUGGGGAGCGAACAGG